GCCGGAAUAGCUCAAUGGUAGAGCACCUGUUUUGUAUUCAAAGGGUUGCGGGUUCAAGUCCUGCUUCCGGCU
rnacentral:tRNA from 1 species